AUUGAACGCUGGCGGCAGGCCUAACACAUGCAAGUCGAACGAGUGGCGGACGGGUGAGUAAUGUCUGGGAAACUGCCCGAUGGAGGGGGAUAACUACUGGAAACGGUAGCCAAUACCGCAUACCAUCGGAUGUGCCCAGAUGGGAUUAGCUGGUAGGUGAGGUAACGGCUCACCUAGGCGACGAUCCCUAGCUGGUCUGAGAGGAUGACCAGCCACCGUGGAACGGAGACACGGCGCAGACUCGUACGGGAUGCAGCAGGGGGGCAUAUGUCACAAUGGGUGCAAGCCUGCUUCAGUCAUGCCGCGUGGAUGAAGAAGGCCUUCGGGUUGUAAAGUACUUUCAGCUGGGAGGCGUUACUCGCCGAAGAAGCACCGGCUAACGCCGUGCCAGCAGCCGCGGUAAUUC
rnacentral:rRNA from 1 species